rnacentral:rRNA from 1 species
GACAGAGGGUGCAAACGUUGUUCGGAAUUACUGGGCGUAAAGCGUGUGUAGGCGGUCCUCUAAGUCGGAUGUGAAAUCCCUGGGCUCAACCCAGGAAGUGCACUCGAAACUGGAGGGCUAGAGUAUCGGAGAGGUUGGUGGAAUUCUCGGUGUAGAGGUGAAAUUCGUAGAUAUCGAGAGGAACACCGGUGGCGAAGGCGGCCAACUGGACGAAUACUGACGCUGAGACACGAAAGCGUGGGGAGCAAACAGG